rnacentral:rRNA from 1 species
AGUGAACGCGGCGGCGUGCCUAAUACAUGCAAGUCGAACGGAAUUUAAGAGGGCUUGCUCUUUUAAAUUUAGUGGCGCACGGGUGAGUAAUAUAUAGCUAAUCUGCCCCUUGCUGGAGGACAACAGUUAGAAAUGACUGCUAAUACUCCAUACUCCUUUUUACCAUAAGAUAAAUCGGGAAAGAAUUUCGGCAAGGGAUGAGACUAUAUCGUAUCAGCUAGUCGGUGGGGUAACGGCCUACCGAGGCUAUGACGCGUAACUGGUCUGAGAGGAUGAUCAGUCACAUUGGAACUGAGACACGGUCCAAACUCCUACGGGAGGCAGCAGUAGGGAAUAUUGCGCAAUGGGGGAAACCCUGACGCAGCAACGCCGCGUGGAGGAUGACACUUUUCGGAGCGUAAACUCCUUUUGUUAGGGAAGAAUAAUGACGGACCUAACGAAUAAGCC